AUUACAUUCAAAAAGACUCCCCAGAAGCCAAAAUAAAGGCUUCUGGAUAAUUCUUUGCUGCUAUCUAGUGGUCAGCUACAUGCAGUGAAAGCUACUAUCCAUAAAACAUCAUUUUAAUCUCCAACCCAUAGAGAUCAAGCUCAGAUGAACCAUAGAAUCUUAGAAUUGCAAAGGUGGGCCCUCAAAGGUCAUCUAUAAAUAAUAAUAAUAAUAAUAAUAAUAAUCCCAGUCAUUCUCGGCAGCUUCCAACAGAAAUAUUAAAAUACAAUAAUUUAUUAAACAUUAAAAGCUUCCCUAAUCAGGGCUGCCUUCAGAUGUCCUCUAAAAGUCUGGUACUGUAGUUGUUUUUCUCUUUGACAUCUGGUGGGAGGGCGUUCCACAGGACGGGUGCAACUACCGAGAAGGCCCUCUGCCUGGUUCCCUGUAACUUGGCUUCUCACAGCGAGGGAACCGCCAGAAGGCCCUCGGCACUGGACCUCAGUGUCCGGGCAGAACGAUGGAGGUGGAGACGCUCCUUCAGGUAUACUGGACCGAGGCCGUUUAGGGCUUUAAAGGUCAGCACCAACACUUUGAAUUGUGCUCGGAAACGUACUGGGAGCCAAUGUAGGUCUUUCAAGACCAGUGUUAUGUGGUCUUGGCGGCUGCUCCCAGUCACCAGUCUAGCUGCCGCAUCCUGGAUUAAUUGUAGUUUCCGGGUCACCUUCAAAGGUAGCCCCACAUAGAGCGCAUUGCAGUACUCCAAGCGAGAGAUAACUAGAGCAUGCACUACUCUGGUGAGACAGUCUGCAGGCAGGUAGGGUCUCAGCCUGCGUACCAGAUGGAGUUGAUAGACAGCUGCCCUGGAUACAGAAUUAACCUACGCCUCCAUGGACAGCUGUGAGUCCAAAACGACUCCCAGGUUGCACAUCUAGUCCAACCCCCUGCAAUGCAGGAAUCUUUUUGCCCAUUGUGAGGUUCCAACCCAGGUCCUCAGAUUAUGAGUCUCAUGGUCUAGAAAUUGAUCUACCCCACAACUUUAAUCCCAGUUUCUACGAAAGUUGUGCCUUUCCAGCUAUAUCAACAUUUGACUGCAAAUUUUAAUUAUUAGUAUUAGUGGUAAGCAUUUUUACCUACUCUUCAGCUGAAAAGGCUCCCAAAGUGAAACAACAACAUGCAUAUGUUAUGUAUAAUAUUGAAUCAGGGUCUAUUGCUACCAUAUGAAUUUGAAUAUGUUGGCAAAUUCUAACAAUUUACAUCUGUCAUUGAUGUUGGGGGGGGGGGGAUAUGGCUAACAGGUGGCCUUCCCUUGUAGAUCCAGUUGGGCUUUGGAGCCUUUCCGGUGAACAGACAGAUCUCUAUGCAUGGAUACCCUUUUAAUUUUACUUCUAUUUUUUUUGCUGCACUCUCAUUUGCAAUUAUUGCUCAGGAUCUGGUAACUGGCAAGCCUAGUCUUCAAUAAGGAACUUUAUCAGAAGCAUUUUGAAAGCCCAGCGUGUAUUAUAUUCCCAUCAUUAAAAUGCAUCUCGCAUCUUUAAACAUGGUUUUAGCAGAUCGACAACCCGAAUAAGUAGAACCAAUAUGGCCUCCAUCCCCUACCCCCAUUGGCGAAUUGCUGAAAACACAGAGAAAAACUAUGCGUGCAUGUUUCUCACCUUAUGGUUGCUUUCAGGUUUUCAAUGUUCUUUUAUUCUGAGUGGGGUGGGGGAGGCUCUCAGCUAAUCCAAGCCUUGAUCACCCUUUCAGAAGUUAUUGGAGGAAGAAAUUUGGAGUAAAGAACAGUAGUCAAAGAAGCAGAAAAUACAAAAUCUGCUUUGUUUGCGUAGGUGCAGUAAGAAGGGUCGGGAUGGGAAAAUUGAAGUGCGAUUAUUUUGAUGUCUACCUUAUGUUCAUAUCUGAGUUCAUUAGUAAACAAUGCUGAUGUGAAAAAUCUGUUUUUUUUUAAAUAACACUAAUGCUUGUCUAUUAAGUGCAGCAAACCAUCUGGAAUGCAAAUAGAAGAAAAUUAAAUCUCUGUUACUCUCCUCUUCCACUUGUUGGGUCUAUUUUAUUGCCCUGCCACUGUUACAGUAGAAUCUUGGAUCCCGUGGGCAGCUCUGUAGUUUAAAAAUCACGGCUCCGUGUGAGACCGGAAAUGCCUUAUCAAGGCAGUGAAGUCCACUCUGUUGUUUAUUAUCUCUGUGGCGGACCGUGCUGACGUUUCCCGUCUCUGCGUUCCUCAGCUGCCGCCAGGAGGAGCGGCGGGGCGUCGUCAGGUUCCUACCCUCUUCUGGCCUUUCAUUGGGAUGAGAGCUUCGAGUGGCUGGACCGAAGUGUUCCUUCAUUUUGUCGGCUACAGGGUCAGGAGACUUGAGAGAACCAGGUACAAGACUUGCAGAGAACAUCGAGGGCCUGAGAACAUGCUGUCUCUUGGGGCUCUACCUUUAUCCUUUGACCCUGGGAAAGAACAGCUUGUGGAGGACAUAUAGAAACCAGGGCACACAGAGAAACCAAUGAGGGAACAGGUUUGUCUUUAUUUCUUGCUAACCCUCUUACUGACUGCUGUUCUUCCACGGUUUUUGUAAUCUUCAUUGUAUGCUCUAAUUAAUACAGAUGUUUAAAUCCUGAACCUUCCUGGGACCUGCCAGAAAGGUUGGUGGACCCCCAAGAUUUUUGUUUUACACCAGCACCCAACCACCAUAGCUGCCAAGUUCUCCCUUUUUUUUUUAAGGGAAAUCCCCUUAUGCUGAAUAGGCUUCCUUGCGAGAAAAGGGAAAUUUGGCAGCUAUGCCAACCACGCACUAAUAUAUAGUUUGUUGAUGAAACGUCAAGGAUUCAUUCUUUAUUACUGUUGUGUUUUGUCACCACUUUAUUUCUUCUUUUGUCUCUUCUGCUUAUUUUCAACCUACUUUGUGUUCUCAGUUCUCCUGAAUUCACAACUCAUCCUCUUCACCCUCUCCUGCCUUGGUUUCUUACUCAACAUCAUAGACUGUUUUUAACUUGUUGGGACGCCUCAAGAGGCAAUUCUGAAAGGCAGCCUAUAAAAUACAUAAAAUAAAUAUAUCUCCUCAUGUUUAUUCCUCUUAAACCAUCUUUUUAAUCUUUUGGAUUGGUCCUUAAGCAUUUAUCAUUUCUUCUGUUUUAAGAAAUAGUGUUUGGAUCCCAUCUUUCUAUUUCUCUUAAAUUCCUUUCAAAGCUGCCUGAGGUUGUUCAUUCUAAUGUAAAAUCUGACUUUUGAUCAUUUUUUAGUUUGCUUUUUGUCCUCAUUUUACAUUAACUGCCCUGCAUGUAAAUCCACAGCAUCUUACACUAUCCCCCCAUUCUUUUUCCUGGAUCUUGUGGAUUUGAUCCUGUAGGUCAUGCCUUGCUUUAGUAAUCUCUUCACUCAUUCACUUUUUAUCAUUUCUGUUCUUUCUUGACUUCACAAUUUUCCCUGUUGCUCCUACUGUUUAAUUUUACGUUCUAAGUCCCUGAGCCAGGAUCCCUUCUUGUUGUUACUCUUUAAAGUGCUAUGUAUACUGACUGCACUGCAUAAUAGUAAAAAUGAAACAAUACUUCCUUAACAAUAUUACAACUAUGUUGAAUCCCUAAAAAUGUAUUUAGUAUAUUUAUAUUUAUGAUUACUGGGAUUUUAUUUGGUUUCCCAUUUUUUUGGUGCAGCCAUUAAUGCCUAUUUUGAGUUCUUCAGGUUACUUAUUCUUUCCUCUCAUUUGGACCUUCUUUCUCCUUUGCUUGCAUUGUCUCUCUCUCCUUUAAGUUUCCUUUAUUUAUGUUUAAGUGUCUCCAUGAUCUUGGACACCUCUCAUCUCUGCGUAUUCCUUCUCGGUCUAUUGAAAUACUACUUUUCUUCUUCAAUUUCAUUUCUCAUGCACUAUUUAUUUUAUUCUUUUUAUGUCUCUGCUGCAAAUGCCACGAAUGUUCAUCCACCAUCCACAAUUGGCUUGUUCUGUUCCUGCAUUAGAAGUUAUUAAAAAUGAUAUAAUUAUUGAAUAAUAGUUAUAUUUACAGUUGCUUUUCCUUUGUGCAUUGUGUUUUGAUUGAAAGCUAGCAAAAAUCAGUAUAGUAUUGCUGCAAUAAAAUCUCUUCCAGAUAAGGGGACUAAGACAUCCAGUGUGGAAGUCCUGGUACCCAGGCAGUGAGUAGCUAUUUAGCUGCAAUCCAAAUCUAAAACCAAAGUUACUCCUUUGAGGUAAGUGGGUCCCUAGCAACCU